UUGGUUAGAGCGUGGUGCUAAUAACGCCAAGGUCGCGGGUUCGAUCCCCGUACGGGCCACGUCACUUUUUUUCUGCGAUUUUGUGUUUGCCACUUAAAUUUGGUACAUUUUUCUGAGAUGGAGAAACGUAUUGUCCGAGGAGUUGGCACUAAAGUGCCACGCCAGGAUCGUGAGGACCCCUGCGUUCUGUUCCUAAACCCGCGUGAAGCUCGUGGCUCGACUUCCGUAUUUUCUACAGAAGAAACGCGGAGCGGUGAACACGUAGCAAGAUCGUGACAGGAGAAAGUCAGCUGUGCCCGCAGUACUGCCAACUCCUGCUCCGACAGAAACGCAGUUUUUUCAGGCUUCAUCUUGAGAGUUGCAGUACAUUUGAGGAAGAAAUCAGAUUUUGGGGAAACUUUCUUGAAAGGCGCGUUUGUGCUUCGGAGUCAGCUGAAGAACUUGCUCAGUACUCGAACUCCAAGCCCAGGACCUACCUACCCUGGAUCCCCGGGACCGACAGCACAGGUCCCUUGCCAAACUGUAACAGUGGAUUGAAAUAUUUAUUAACAACUGAAUUUUCUCCUGACUCUAAGAUCCAUGACAUCCCUGAAGCCAAUCCAGGCCCUGAGCUUGUUUCAGAGUAUCAGCUAACCUGACUCUUCAUGUAAUGCUUAUCUUAAAUUGCAAGGAAAUCCUUGAUCAGAGAAGUCACAAGCAGCAAUACUUCCGUGUUCUCCGAGUUCUGAAGCAGUGCGAAGUCGCAGACAGCACGCAGGCGACUGCCAGUGACGGCGGGUCUCGCACUACGCGUCAAACAGAGAUGGCUUCGCCAGCAGAGCGCUUGUUACUCGUGAGUCCUUCGAUAGCUCAGUUGGUAGAGCGGAGGACUGUAGUGGCAGCUCGCUGGUAUCCUUAGGUCGCUGGUUCGAAUCCGGCUCGAAGGAACUUACACUUUUAGUGAGUUCAAGGCAUGUCCUAGUUGUUGGUAUCCUCAAGGGUCAAUUUAAAGCGAUUUUUGAUGUGCAAGCCGUCUCGCUAAAUUAUUAAAAUCUUUAGUUAUUUUGAAUACCCACACUUCGAUUCCAUUGGACCUAUUUUAACCCUCAGAAAACUCUCUGACCCGGCAAAGCGAAUCAGAGGUAGGCCCACCCCGCCAGGGCUCCGGAGAUGGAUCCACACACACUCUCGACCUCAGAUUCCAAGCCUGGGAGGGUCGACCGGAGAAGAGUCGCCAGGCCGGUGGGCAUCGAUGGGACACGCGCGCCCCCUGCAGGUCGGAGUGCUUAGCAACUGGGGCUCAUUUGUCACCUACCAACUCAUCAUCUGUGCGGCUAGAGGAAACUCACAAGACCUGUUGCCCGCGAGUGUUACAUCACUGGGGUUUCAGCCCCACUUUCGAGAAAACUAGGUGUAAAUCUGAAUAAACUGGGGAGGCUUUUCACUGAACCUAUGCUUGCAGUUGAGACUCCGACAGUGGCAGUUUAAAAACUCCCCCAGUAAUUUGAAAUGGGCUGCGAAAUUCAGAAAACGUAACAAGAAGACAAUAAUGGGGGGGGGGGGACCGCAUACAGGAAAGUGAACAGAAUUUCCUAUGCACUUGAGGAACCAAAAAUUUAGAGAUCACAGCAAUAGAACACCUUUGCUAAAUUUGGGCCCAUUCAUUCAAUUAAUCCCUUUUUUAAAAAGGAGGGGAAGAGUAGGAAAAGCCAAGCCUGUACACACGAGCAGAGGCUUUGACGCUCUAGAGUCCUGUUAAGAAAUAGGGGUGCAUUUGCUACCACUGUCAGAAACUGAAGCGUCCUCAAUACAUUAGAUACAAGGGAAACAAAUUCUGCGAAUAAAAAAUGUGAUAUCUGGAAUAUAAAAAAGGAAACUGUAGAUUUGUAAAUCCACUUGGCCGGAACCAAACUUUAGAUUUGUAAAACGUUAAGGAUAUUCGCAAACCUCACCACUAUGGGUGAUAGAUCUGUCUAAAGAGGAGGAAAAUACACCACCCUCCGUGAUUCAGGGGCAAUGAACGCACCCCGUGGAAGUGUCUAGCUGUUAAAGGAAAAGCAAAGCACUCGGGUCGCAAAGUGGGCACGUAUUAAUUGCUCACAUAUUUCAGCAAUAUAUUAAAGAAAAAACAAAACUAAAAAAACCUUGGGAUGUAAAACUGGAGAAUGCGGGCAUCGAUCCCGCUACCUCUCGCAUGCUAAGCGAGCGCUCUACCAUUUGAGCUAAUUCCCCAUCUGGCAGGGGUUGUUGACAACCUUGUCCCUUUCUGAAAUCUGGAUGCCGUUCAGGCUGUGCAGUUUCUUGGACUGACCCUGCAUAGCUAACCGGAAGCCGUGCGGUCUGCAAGUCUCGAGCUACCAGGCAGUUCCAAAAGACUGCAGCCCUCGGCGUCACCACCACCUGCUCCGCCCUCCGCUUCCUGACUCACAAAGGUCACGGGCGCAGAGUCCACAGAAUGCCUGCCUAGACGUUGGACAAGACUGUGAUGCCAGAAUCUGAUCUGCAGAAAUCUGAUACCGGAAAGAAAUAGGAUUCAGCCACUGAAGAUUCAGUCAAGGUUUUCAAGCAAUGGAGGCUUAGCUACACAAUAAUUCUCAGUCAUCUUUGUAAGCCUAAAAUUUCCACGGAUCGACUCAGCCCCACAAUCAGACUGAGUCACAACAGAUCUGACUGUCCCUUGAGAUUGGCUUUUUUGGCUUUCUUUGACACCGCCGGGGCUUCUGUAGGUCCAAAUGCCAGCGGUGGGCAAGUUAUUUUUCUUUUUUUAAAAAUUUUAUUUAAAAGGAAAAAGAGAAAAAACAAAACAAAGCGGUGUAAGGGUACAAGUAAUACAGAACUACAAAAAUAAAUAAAUAAAUAAAUAAAUAAAUAAAUAACCAGUUAAUAGAUUACACAUUAUCAUCUUAGGGAUAGUUGCUCAAGUCACAGUAUCAAAGCAUACAAAGUGGGCAUUCAAACAGUGAGACUGUAAACAGAUGUGUUCAAUGAUCCCACCAAAAACAUUAAUAUGGUCAUCUAUUUAACACCCCUAAACACACUUGCAGUUGUAUCCUUCCUUUAAAGCACCUUUUUCCCCUCUCUUUUUUACAACACAAUUUACACAUUUUGGGUUUUAUUACUCCUUAGUUCUUAUUACUUUUUUUUUUUUUGGAAGAGAAUAAAGUCAAAUAUGGCAAAACAAAGCUGUCAGUAAGUUAUUUUUCUAAAGUAAAUAUCCACAAAGAAAAGCGGGCUGCAAAUUCAGAGUCCAAGUUCUCCCAAGAAGAUUAAAGAAGUCAUUACCUCUUUUUCUUUUCAGCCCCACCAAGUACCAAGUUCUUAUAGCACCACCACUAAGUGCUAGGUACCGGUUGGCAAAGCUAAUUGUAAAGGGGUGACCCCUGGACUUGCCGGGAGACCCCUGAAGGCCCUCACCCAUCAUCUGCACCUUCCAACGGCUUUUUUUCUUGAGAUCCAAUCAGAAGGGGCUUCCUCUAUCUGGUUGGUGAUUUUCUAGUCUCAAGGAAAUCGAGGUAAGCUUAUUAGAUCUGAAAUUGAGGUCUGCUUAAGAAGCCGAGCAGGAAAUCCCAAGACUUUUAGGCUG